UUAUUGCGGUUCAUUUGUGGAGCCGCGUAUAACGAUACUAUAUGCUGGAAUACCUUUAGGCCUCUUAAAGAUAAUUAGCAGGGAACUUAUGUAUUCUAUUCCUUAUCUGUAAAGUUAGGAAAUUGAUUAUAAAGAAUCCUCAACGACUACACGCAUUGAACCUUUUAGCAGGUUAAGAUAUAGUCUAAUCUUAAUUGAGAAAUUGAG
rnacentral:ncRNA from 1 species